GACGAACGCUGGCGGCGUGCUUAACACAUGCAAGUCGAACGGAAAGGCCCUGCUUUUGUGGGGUGCUCGAGUGGCGAACGGGUGAGUAACACGUGAGUAACCUGCCCUUGACUUUGGGAUAACUUCAGGAAACUGGGGCUAAUACCGGAUAGGAGCUCCUGCUGCAUGGUGGGGGUUGGAAAGUUUCGGCGGUUGUGGAUGGACUCGCGGCUUAUCAGCUUGUUGGUGGGGUAGUGGCUUACCAAGGCUUUGACGGGUAGCCGGCCUGAGAGGGUGACCGGCCACAUUGGGACUGAGAUACGGACCAGACUCCUACGGGCGGCAGCAGUGGGGAAUCUUGCACAAUGGGCGGAAGCCUGAUGCAGAAACGCCGCGUGCGGGAUGACGGCCUUCGGGUUGUAAACCGCUUUCGCAUGUGACGAAGCGUGAGUGACGGUAAUGGGUAAAGAAGCACCGGCUAACUACGUG
rnacentral:rRNA from 1 species